UCCAGUCUAGGAGGGUUGCAUCAGGAACGGCCGCUGUAGCUCAGAAACAAGAUGCUUCUGGGCUUCCCUGUUGGUACCAGAUCACCCUGUGGGCAGGGGGCUUUGUGAUCAUCAUCCUGGGGGUGGCUGUGACAGUCUUGGCUUUGCAGUUGGAAGCUGAAAAGGGAAAAAUUGUGCUGAACAAUGGUGGAUGCAAUGCCUCGAUAGACAAGUUUCGGGCUUCCCUAAGACACAGGAUCUGCAAUCAAAAUCAGAAUAGGU